rnacentral:rRNA from 1 species
UUUGAUCCUGGCUCAGAACGAACGCUGGCGGCGUGGAUAAGACAUGCAAGUCGAACGAGAACUUUCGCUGUAGCAAUACAGUGGAAGUUCUAGUGGCGAACGGGUGCGUAACACGUGGGCAAUCUGCCUUAAAGUGGGGGAUAGCUCGGCGAAAGCCGGAUUAAUACCGCAUGUGAUUACCGGAGACAUCUUCGGAACAUUAAAGUCGGGGCAACCUGACGCUUUUUGAGGAGCCCGCGGCCUAUCAGCUUGUUGGUGAGGUAACGGCUCACCAAGGCAUUGACGGGUAGCUGGUCUGAGAGGACGACCAGUCACACUGGAACUGAGACACGGUCCAGACACCUACGGGUGGCAGCAGUCGAGAAUUUUUCUCAAUGGGGGAAACCCUGAAGGAGCG